AGACAGCAGGGCCUCUGCGCCUUUCCGGAACUGGGUGUUUCCCGGAAUACUGAUUUGCUUUGCGGGGCCCCAGGGGCGAAGCUGGUCCUGGCUGCCGCUGGAACCUGCCUGGGGCAGGACAGCCUAGCGAGGGCUCCUGCUUCCAGGGCAGAUGCCAAUGCAGAGCCCUGGGGCCACAGCUCCCAGCUCUGCUACAGCCCUCUGGGGAGGCAGGGGUCAGACAGGGACAUCUGUUUUCCCCACGGGUGUAGCGUUCGGCCAGUUUCAAGAGACCACCCUUGAAGAGACCUGAGAGGCAGGCUUUACCCCAGCCCUCACCCCAGCAAAGGACCAGGCUAAGUCAACAGCAGAGACCGUGCCCGCAGCUGGGUGUCACCUACAGUGCAGCUGGGCAACCUGCAGCUGACGGAAGAGGCUGUUGUGGCAACACCUGAGGGAGGACUGACCUGGGCAUCUGAUGGGAAGUAGGCAUUGCCGUGUCCCAAGCGCAGGAAAGAGCAAGGGGCGAGGGGAAGGGCAGCAAGUGGUUGUAAAAACGACAUGAAGAGGAGUGACCCAGGAGCAGGACCUGGAGGCAUGCAGCACCAGCCAGUGGCGAGAAGGAAAGAAUGACCGAGAACCAGGGGUAGAUCAGCCGGUUCAGUAUCUUGGAACUUAUAGAAGGGGUUUGGGGCCAAGCCACGUUCAGGGAAGGAGACACAGACACAGAGCAACACCGUCCUAAUAAAGCCCUGAACCAACCUCAGCCCCAAGCCACGCCACGGGCUGUGACCACGUCGGGGCUUUGACCUUGAUGCUGUCCUUUGGGCUGUGGCCGCCCCAGGCGUGACUGCAGGGGAGGCAUCUCGUGGUCAAAGAGUCUUAGUGGACUCCGAGUCCCUAACCGAAUCCAUCUGCUGCCUAAAACACCACGCCCAGGCUUCAUGUGUGCGGAGCUGGGGGUAAGAGGAAGGGCUCUCUGCCCUGACCCCCAGCCCACUGAGGCCAGAGCAUGCCACCAAUGCAGGCCCCAGGGACCCCAAGUGGACAGUCCCUGCCCGCCCUUCCUCCUCCCCAGCUCUGCGGAUGCCUUUUAUCAGGGCCUCCCAUCUCUCUCUCCCUUCCCUCUGCACCCAGCGCUCAACACACACAGCAUCUCCCGAUAAAGGAGGCAUUUACACUCAAAAGGGAGGAUUCAGAGAGUUGGUCAUUCUCAA